rnacentral:sRNA from 1 species
GCACAGAGUCAGACAGGACUGAAGCGACUUAGCAGCAGCCUAGUGAGCUGAGAAUGAGCUUUACUUCUUUUUCUUUUUCUUUUUUUUUAAUUUUAGAGCCUACACUUUUUAAUGGCUGAGGAAAACCGAAAAGCAUAUUAUUUUCUGACGUGAAAAUUGUGUGAAGUUCAAUUUUUGGUGUCCUUAAAGUUGAAACAGGGACUUGCCAGUUCCUUUGGUUAUUGUCUAUGACUGAAAACUUGAUCAAUCGUCAAAGAUCAUAUUCGCAAAGCCUAAAAUAGUUCUUUUUGGGCCCUUUACAGAGUCUUUUUAAAAUGCUCUGUUCUGCUGGAAGUCUCCUAGUAGUCAUAUGGGGGAAUAAAGUCUUGGUUUUGUUACAAUAUUUUCUUCUCUAUUAUAUUCAUUUUUCAUUCUUUAUUAAUUGCAUUCCUUCUUAUCGCUAUAAGUUUGUUCUGUUGCGCAUCUUUACAACUUUUUGAGAUAGUUAUUUGUAACUCUCAUUUCUCUUAUAUGUAAUGCUAUAAGUUUACUUUAAUUUGUUGUUGUUGUUGUUCAGUCUGUCAAUCAUGUAGGACUCUUUGCAACCCCAUGCACUGCACGCAGCACACCAGGCUUCGCUGUCCUUCACUAUCUCCUGGAGUUUGCUCAGACUCAUGUCCAUUUAGUUGGUGAUACUAUCCAACCAUCUCAUCCUUUGCUGCCCACUUCUUCCUGCCCUCAGUCUUUCCCAGCAUCAAGGUCUUUUCCAAUGAGUUGGCUUUUCACAUCAGGUGGCCAAACUAUUGGAUCUUCAGCUUCAGCAUCAGUCCUUCCAGUGAAUAUU